AGUCGCCCGCACCGUGGAGGCCAAGGCUUCCAUGGCUGAGCGAUCUUUCAAUCUGGUCGUGCCGCUGGCUCACGAGGCCACCGCCAUGCGCAUCACGGAUACCGACCGCCGGAGUGCGGCACGGUCCGGCGCAGUUUCCCGGCCGAGCGAUCGGCCGGGCGAUGUAGAUAGCACGAUACAUCC
rnacentral:sRNA from 1 species